UAUGCAUGAAAGUGGUUUUGUUUGUAGUUUGUAAUCCUGUCAAGGCUCUUUAAUGACCUAUAUUAAUUUGGGCAAUGCUUUGUAGGUUGUCGACUCCAUUCAUUUUUUUAACUUCAUUGUCAUAAGUUCUUGUUAUAUAAUACCAUUGAUAGGAUAUGUAGUUCUUUGUUAGUUUCCCAUGUUGAUGUUAUAUCUCUACAAUGGCAUUCUUUGUUAGUUUCGUUUGUUGAUGUUAUAUCUUUACAACAGGCUUAUCAAUCAAGCAUGUUGAAGGCAUUUAAAAAGACCCUUGAUGAGGGGGUUUUCUCCCUUGUAAUUGGUUCUACUAAUUCUCCAAGAUUGAAGAUGGGUGGUACAAUUGUAAAGAAUGUUGGUAGUAACCUGAAGCACUGUUGGCAGAUCAUUGACAUGAAGAAUGGCUGCAGGGACUAUUUUUCUGGGCGGAUUGCAGCUGGUCUCAGGUGCUGAAUGCCUUGAUAGCAAUCUAUAAAUAUUUUGUUUGUUAUGGUGUCCACUACAGAGCUAGUUUUUUUGAGCCUACCCUUGCAGGUUGUGCAAGGGAAUACAUAUAUUUUUGCUACGGCUCUAUCGCUGCCGUUGACUGUGUUCAUGGUCCGCAUAAUCCAAUUAUAAGGCCCCUAAACAGGUUCUGGUUUAGUGAGCUGCCCCAAAUCCAUGAUUACAUAUGGUCUUAUUGAGGGAAGAAAUGGAAAAUAAUGUGUUUGUACCUCUUCUUUUAGGGAUAUUUGUUUAUCUUUUUGGACAUAUCUGUAUGAUUUGUGGAUAGGUUUUUUUUUUUUUUAAAGGGAAUUUUUUUGAGGGAAGAAAUGAAAAAUAAUGCAUGAAUGUUGAGAUUUCUGCAAAUAUGUCUUUACGUUUAUGGUAUAUAAUAUUUGAAUAUAUAUAUGAUUGUAGGUUUUGUUU